GCGGGAGUGAUUCAAUGGUAGAGUGUCACCUUGCCAAGGUGAAAGUUGCGGGUUCGAGUCCCGUCUUCCGCUCCA
rnacentral:tRNA from 1 species